CCUACGGGAGGCAGCAGUGGGGAAUAUUGCACAAUGGGCGCAAGCCUGAUGCAGCCAUGCCGCGUGUAUGAAGAAGGCCUUCGGGUUGUAAAGUACUUUCAGCGGGGAGGAAGGGAGUAAAGUUAAUACCUUUGCUCAUUGACGUUACCCGCAGAAGAAGCACCGGCUAACUCCGUGCCAGCAGCCGCG
rnacentral:rRNA from 1 species